rnacentral:lncRNA from 1 species
UCUGAAUGACUAAUUCGGCCUUCGAGCCUAGUUGACUUGAGUUAUUAAGCCUGUUAGGGUGUCUUUACACCUAGUGCCCUGAGCCAUCUGGAUCGGGAGUCAUUGGCCUAACACUCGCUACAUGGGUUAGCUAGAAAGCUUAAUAAGGCUAGAUAUUGCACAAGUCAUUCUUCUUAGUAUUUAGUCUGAAAAAAAAGAAAAAAAGAAAAAAAAUAAACUAAAUAAAUAAAUAAAUAAAUCUGGGGUGUUCAUUACCAUUUAACUCUAGAAAGUCUUGAAAAUUGGAGUGAUCAUGUUGAAAGUAAGUGAAAGCCACUCAUUUAUAUGAUAUUAUCUUGCACCUCACUACAUUCUUGACUUGUUAGCAGAUAGAUGGGGUGUAAUGAAACUUGAAUUAGAGUCUCUAUUAUCCUUGCAAUUCUAGUUUCAAACAGUAAUACUUGUUCAAAUUUCAAGUUAAAAAUUGGAAAUCCCUGACUCAUGAAGUUUGUGGGUAACUUCACUGUAAACCCUCACGAGACAACACUCGUCCACUAGGAUAACCUAGGGGUUUAAAGGCUUGCUGCACGUGCUAAGUGUAAUCGUGAUGCUUUACGAAAGUGGGUACGUAUCUCAGUUUUUAUGUACUUAGCUUGAAUAAAAAGUCAUGGGCUAGACUACAUCUUUUGUGCCCUCAUUUUAUCGUUUGCUCAUUAAUUGCUAGAGACUAGCAAUAAGCUGGUUGGGGGGUGUGAUGAGAGCACAAAAGUGCAAUCGUCAUACCAUCUUAACUAGUAUUAUAGUUAAUCUUUAAUAAUAAAAUUAACUAAUUAACGUUGUAUUUAUGUUUGAGUGCAAGUAAUCCAAAAGACCCCAUAAUAUUGGGUUUGAGCGCAAGGCCCAGCAGCCCAAGCUCUAGUCAAGCCAGCGUGCCAGCAACGCCCGCGUCCCAGACUUCCUCCCUUGAUCGUGCCAGCCGCAUGCCAGUUUCCGUGCCAGGCCGUCCGCGUCUCCAGCGCGUCCCCACCAUGCCUUACAGCCAUCCAGCAUCAGUUGAUUUAGCCGCUUCCGUCCGUGACGCACCGGAAUCCCAAACCCCCCAGGAACCACAUUUCCAGCCUCCCAACGCGUUCAUCCUCCCCUGUUUUCUCAUCUUCCCGUCUCAUCCCGCGUCCGCGACCCAAUCCCAGUCGUGCGCCCAUUCUGAAAAUCCAGCAUCAAGCCGCCCACAUCCGCACCAUGAUCUUCAGCCCCUCUCCCGUGAUCCCGCCUCACAGAUCGCCCCCAAGCAAGCGUCCGUGAAUGGCG